UCUUCUCCUCAGUCCGGAUCUUCUUGGCAGACAGAGGACCCGGCGGGUCCCGGGAGGGGGGCUGCAGCUUGGAAAACGGUUCUUUCUCCGAGACGGCGGCCGGGGCGCAGUGCACUAGGCUCGGCGGUUCCGCCAUUUUGCGCUCCUGUUGUAUUUACUCUCCUCCGCUCGCAGGCGCGGGGCAGGGGCGGGCUCUCCUCAGGGGGCAGGGAAGGGGCGGAGCGGCCGGGCCCUCCAUUGGGCGAGCCACGCUGAGGGAUAUCUUAAGAACCAAUCAAAAGCGCGAGUCUGGAGCCGAAGUUGUGGGGGGAAUCGCCAAGCGUACCAGUUUUGGAGGUCACAGGGCCGCGGGGCGCGGCUAAUGGCGGAGCAAGCUGUGAGGGGAGGGUCGUCCAGUUGUCGUCAGCGUGAACGCGGGUGCCCAGUGAGUGUCUGAGAGAACCCCAACUCCAGACCCCAAAGUCUGCCCCGGCCCCGCACUCGUCUCUGCCUCGUCGACUUUGUCUUAUACCACUGUCCCUUCCUUUUUCUCUGGGGGGUCCUUUUGGUCCCUCCCCUGCCUUUUCCCGCUCAGAAAGCCGAAUUUCGCAGAUUCUCAGCUCCGAGGAGAAAAUUUUGCCGGAAAUUAAAUCCUUCCUUCUGUUAGGCAGUAGUCGAUUGAUGGGAGGAGCUAAAAGUCACUUGGUGUCCUGACAAGAUGUGUUACUCUUUUGCUAAGAUCGUCAUCUCUAAUGCUUUGAGGGAGGUAACUUCUGCACACCUAGAACUUUCGGAUUACUACCGAGCUUGAAGAAUCUUAUUUUGGAAGAGACUUUUUGGUUUUUCUAGACAUUGGACUUUCAUGUACAGUUGAAUUUUCAAGAUAAUUUUGGAGACUAACAUGGAGUUUUUUACUUUCAUUUUUGCCAAGAGCACAGGCUCCGGACGCGCAGGCCCAGUGGCGAUGGCUCACGGGCCCAGCCUCUCCGCGGCAUGUGGGAUCUUUCCCGGACCGGAGCACGAACCUAUGUCCCCUGCAUCGGCAGGCGGACUCUCAACCACUGCGCACCAGGGAAGCCCGACCCAAGCUUUUAAAAAGCACACCGUCUUUGGACUGGAGCUGAACAUCAGUUUGCCUGGGUCUCAGCCUGCCCACCUUCGGAUUAGAACUAUUGUAUCAGCUCUCGGUCUCCAGGCUGCUGCUGUUCAGCGUGAAACUGAAGCAUCAGCUCCUCAUGGGUCUCCAGCUUGCCCACCCUCCCCCUGCAGAUUUUGUACUUGCCAGCCUCCAUAAUCAUUGGAUACUAAAAAUAAAACAACAUUUGUGCCUGCACACCUGUAGGUAAGAGGAAGAAAAAGCAAUUCUCAUGCUGGUCUAAGAGACAAGCCCCUUGGACCACCUGAAGAGCCAAGCUCUGUUUUACAGCAUUAAGCUCGCUACAAUUUCUGCUAACGCAAUGGCCAUUAAUGCUUAUUAAAUGCCAGGCACUAUAUUAAGCAAUGGGGAUAGAGAGAUAGUUAACUAAGUCCCAGUCUGUAGCCUUGGAAGCUUUCAUUCUGGGGAAAUCAGAAAUGUAAAUGUUUAUGAAUCUAAUGAACUGAGUGCUAUAGAAACCCAGAAAUGUUUACCAUACAAACAAAAAAUUUUAAUCUAUCUAAAUGUUAAUGCCUAACUGUCAGUUUCAAUCUUUCAAAAAUCUUUUCCAAAUUAGAUAUCAAAUAUUGAAGGAAAAAAGCUAACAAUAUUCUAAAAUUAAAUACAGGAAAACAUCCUUGAGAAUUAACACUUGAGGUAAAUUUUUAUUGUGCUAUCUCAGUGAGCCAUGUCUGGAAAGUUACUUAAAAGUUCACUUCCACUUUUGAAGUUAGUUAAAAUAUAAAUAUGUUUGGCUGGACACUCAUCAAAGGUAAGAAAAUCUUAACUAAACCAGUGGCACUGGGAAAGGACUAAGAUUAGCUCAGAUGCUACGACUGGAAAAUAUUUCCUUUCACUCUAGCUUUAAAGACAUGUUAGACAUACCGCACCAUUUAUAUAAGCUUACUGAGAUAUUUUAAAAACCUACAAGCCAACCACAAGAUAGCACUUCACACCCUCUAAGGUGGUUAUAAUAAAAAAGACAGACAGUGACAAGUAUUGGUGAGGAUGUAAAGAAAUUGGUGGGAAUGGAAAAUGUACAUUCUCCUGGUUGAAACGUAAAACAUGGAGCAGCUUUGGAGAACACUCUGGCAGUUCCUCAAAAUGUUAAACAUACUUGUAGGUACAUACCCAAGAUAAUCAAAAACAUUGUGCAAAACAAAAACUUGUGUAAAAGGUUCAUAGUAGCAUUAUUCAUAAAAUAAUACAAAUGUA